rfam:Anopheles funestus strain FTMOZ unplaced genomic scaffold supercont1.255, whole genome shotgun sequence.
AAAACGGUCCUUUUCAGGACUACAUAUGUUUUGUUCGAUAAAGAUG